rfam:Dethiobacter alkaliphilus AHT 1 ctg30, whole genome shotgun sequence.
AAUAAAUAACGUUUCAGGCUGUAGACAGCAGGUGCUCUUUUGGAGCUUAAGGAUUCGUCGCCUGCCGAGGUCGGAAAGUCAUCAUUUGUCUGAAAAGCUAUUGAUGGCCUCCGUGUGUCUGCGCGGAGGCCAUCUUUUGGUUUAUAC